AUUAACGUCAAUAACUUGGACCGAACACUUUGUUUUGCUUGAUGAAGAGCAGGAAGGGCAGCCUGGAGAGAAAGAGAAGCCGGGUUGAGCCCACUACCAUAAUCCACGUACCACGAGGAAGAUGAGGGAGAGAAAUGAUCCUACCAUUAAAGAGACUGUGAAAAGAGCGUUGAGAACAUCACCACUCUACAGGAAGACACAGUCCAGUAAUGGGUGUCAGAAGUUCAGUAGUGAACGACAGGAAGGACUGAUGCAUGUACUGAGACGGGACGUGAGGGCCUACUCUGCGUGCUCAGAGUUCAAGCCCAGCAGGCUGCAGCGGGCCUGACAUAUUCCGGAACAGCAGCACAGUCUUUGGAUGACUCCUCUGAAGAUGAAAACAUGGCGAGUUCUUCUCAAGAGAAGCAGUACAGGUGUGCCUCAGCUCCACGGUCCC